CAACCUAGCACUUCUACACUUAAAUGUGAAAUAAUUAGCAGCAUGUUGUAUGUACAAGCAACUGUGAAGCUUCAUUCGUUAGUAUCACUAUCAUCACCUCAUGGAAAGGUAACGAGCCUAUCCACUUCAAAGUCCAAUGCAUCUACAUUCCUCCGGAGGAUUUUUAACCGUGUGUCAAGGCUUUCAAGUUUCAAUCCCAUUCAUUUCUCCAUUUAUUCUGAGACACAUAUUUAUGUCCCAAUUUCGAUUUGUCGCUGCAUCGAGAACACAUUCUUGAAGGCCAC
rnacentral:lncRNA from 1 species